rnacentral:rRNA from 1 species
UGGGGAAUAUUGGACAAUGGGCGAAAGCCUGAUCCAGCAAUGCCGCGUGAGUGAUGAAGGCCUUAGGGUUGUAAAGCUCUUUUACCAGGGAUGAUAAUGACAGUACCUGGAGAAUAAGCUCCGGCUAACUCCGUGCCAGCAGCCGCGGUAAUACGGAGGGAGCUAGCGUUGUUCGGAAUUACUGGGCGUAAAGCGUACGUAGGCGGUGACUCAAGUCAGAGGUGAAAGCCUGGAGCUCAACUCCAGAACUGCCUUUGAAACUAGGUCGCUAGAAUCACGGAGAGGUGAGUGGAAUUCCGAGUGUAGAGGUGAAAUUCGUAGAUAUUCGGAAGAACACCAGUGGCGAAGGCGGCUCACUGGACGUGUAUUGACGCUGAGGUACGAAAGCGUGGGGAGCAAACAGGAUUAGAUACC